rnacentral:tRNA from 1 species
GAGUUAGUAGCCUAAUCGUUAAAGGUACGGUCACAUGGUCGAGGGUUUAAAUCCCGCCUAACUCA